rnacentral:rRNA from 1 species
CUGGCGGCAGCCUAACAAUGCAAGUCGAACGAAGUAGCAAUACUUAGUGGCAGACGGGUGAGUAACAUGUGGGUAUCUGCCCUUUGGCCUGGAAUAACACGAGGAAACUUGUGCUAAUACCGGAUAAGUCUUUACGGAGAAAGCUUUAUGCACCAUUGGAUGAGCCCGCACUUGAUUAGUUUGUUGGUGGGGUAAUGGCCUACCAAGACUUUGAUCAAUAGCUGAUUUGAGAGGAUGAUCAGCCACAUUGGGACUGAGACACGGCCCAAACUCCUACGGGAGGCAGCAGUGGGGAAUCUUGCACAAUGGAGGAAACUCUGAUGCAGCGAUGCCGCGUGAGUGAAGAAGGCCUUUGGGUUGUAAAGCUCUUUCGUCGGGGAAGAAAAUGACUGUACCCGAAUAAGAAGGUCCGGCUAACUUCGUGCCAGCAGCCGCGGUAAUAC